AUCGCCCUCCCCACCCACCACCGCCGCUGCGUCCUCCUCCUCCCCAUCACCCGUCGCGCCGUCCUUCGCCUUGCCGAUCUCCUCUCUCCGCGCUGCCAUCGAUCCCGCGGUGGCUACCGUCGCCGAGUUCCCUUCGCCGGCGACGCCAUCUUCGUCAGAUCCUUCUCCUCCGCCCCCAAUGCCGGUCGCGUCGUACUGUCCACCACCGCCGCAUCAUCGUCCUCCCCAUCACCUGCCGCCGACGCCUACUCCUACGCCGGUGCCUCUUUCCCACCUCCUCCUUUCAUUAGGCUCUCCCGAUCCGCUUCUAUGGUGAUGACUGAAUUAUCUGCUCCAAUAAUCCCAUUUAGGUGGAGAAAACUGAUUCGAUGUGAAGAUCUGUGCAAGUUAGAAUCGAUGGUGCAGAAGAUGAAAGAUGCAGUGGCAAAUCUGAGACCGACAAGAACUGGGAUAGGCUAAUUUCUGGGUUUCUGUCCCCAGAGUGACAUGCUGCUGUUUUUAGCUUAAUUCUGUAUCCCCUGGGGAGAUGUGGGCUGUCCUUUUGUUGUCAUUAGAGUUGUUUAGGCCUUUCUAGAGUUGUUUGAUUUUUUUGUCGAUCUGUUGAUCGUUGAACUUUCCUGUAUGCUGGCAUCCCCAGCUGAACCUGCCGUUAUGGCUUUCAGUGAAAAGCCGGGUCUCUGAC
rnacentral:lncRNA from 1 species